AAAGAAUUCUUUCCAUUCACUCUUAAUGGAUUCUCUCAUCUUUGUCACUCUCUCAACUAAAUAACACACACACAGAAACGAAAAGGGGGAACUGGAGGCCAAACAAAAACCUAGCAGCUUCAUUCUUCUUCACCAUUUUUUUUAUACAAGAAUACUUCAUCUUCCUCACUUAGCUUCACCAUAAAAAUCACUGUUCACUUUUAAAAUUCAGCAAUGAAAUGCAGUUGAAUCACCAGCAAAAUACACCGCAAAUAGCCCCAAAAACCAGCAGCUCGGAUCCAGUCCAAAACGUCACACAAAACAGCAAAAAUUCGAGCUCAAAACAGCCUCAAAACUCAUGUAAAACUCCAUUAAAGUUAGCCACAAACCACCAGCAAAAAGGACCUCCAAACCCAGUUUCAUCUCCACCCCAAAACACCCCAUAAAACACCUCAAAAUUCAGCAAAACAGCUGCAAAAUUGCUGAAGAAGGCUGUCAAAAACUGACCUGAAACAUCCCCAAAAUCACUCCAAAACCCAGCUGAAAAUCAGCCAAAUUCCAGUCCCAAACCGGAGCAAAAUGGCCAAAAAUGCAGCCAAAAAUAGCCGCAAAUCAGCUGCCGAUAACUGCCAAAAAGAUCCCCAAAAAACAAUGAAAUCGGCCGAAAAACCAGCUGAAACAACCACCCAAAACUAGCUGGAACGAAGCACCAAACUACCCCAAAAAUAGUCCUCAUCGCAUCAUAUUUGUCGAUAAGCAGAGCUUCGUUUCAACUAGGUAAGACCACCCACGUUUAGUCGAGUUUUUUUUGGAGUCGAGUUCGAGGCUUCUGGAGCGGGUUUCGAUUUGUGGUUCCUUUGGUGCGAGAAUUCGGGAGUUUCCUUUGCUCAUGUAAUUGAAGAAGUUUUCAUCUACACAAAGAUCCAAAUACUUUUAAUCGUGUUGGUUUGAGAGUAGUGUCUGCGCGGCUGGAGACUUCAAGGUAUACCUACUUGGUGUUCACAUGCCUCGGAGUCACCUUCGGAUAUUAUCUUUAAUGUUGUUUAUCUUUAUUUCAAAACAGUAUUGUAUUUAGAAAUUCUAGUGUAUGUCAGUAGAGCUUAUGACUCUGUACUACCUAGUCUUGGGGAUUUGUAGUGAUUAUCGCCGUGUUGGCAUGUAUCACCUUUAAACUUCUCAUUUAUAUUAAUUCCUGCUUCAUAUUA